rnacentral:sRNA from 1 species
GUUCUGCACCGGCGGGGGCGGGGCUCUGCGUGGCCGGGGCGGGCUCGGGAUCCGCGGGGCUACUCCUGGUCUGGCCUGGGCAGGCUGCCCGGGCCGUGGCAGGAAGCCGGAAGCAGCCGCGGCCCCAGUUCGGGAGACAUGGCGGGCGUUAAAGCUCUUGUGGCAUUAUCCUUCAGUGGGGCUAUUGGACUGACUUUUCUUAUGCUGGGAUGUGCCUUAGAGGAUUAUGGAUCAAAUGGGGAGCCUGUGGCCUUGUGUUGGCAGGCAAUGCAGUCAUUUUCCUUACAAUUCAAGGGUUUUUCCUUAUAUUUGGAAGAGGAGAUGAUUUUAGCUGGGAGCAGUGGUAGCACUUUAUUCUGAUUACAGUGCAUUGAAUUUCUUAGAACUCAUACUAUCUGUAUACAUGUGCACAUGCAGCAUUUUACUAUGAAAUUUAAUAUGCUGGGUUUUUUAAUACCUUUAUAUCACGUUCACUUUAAGGAAGACUUCA